rnacentral:tRNA from 3 species
AUACUUUAGUAUGGUCUCGAAAACCGGAGUAGGGGCAACUCUACCGGGGGUUCAAAUCCCCCUCUCUCCGCCA